UACAGAGGUCUCAAGCGUUGUUCGGAUUCAUUGGGCGUAAAGGGUGCGUAGGCGGCGCGGUAAGUCGGGUGUGAAAUCUCGGAGCUUAACUCCGAAACUGCAUUCGAUACUGCCGUGCUUGAGGACUGGAGAGGAGACUGGAAUUUACGGUGUAGCGGUGAAAUGCGUAGAUAUCGGGAGGAACACCAGUGGCGAAGGCGGCUCUCUGGGCAGAUACUGACACUGAGACGCGAAAGCGUGGGUAGCAAACAGG
rnacentral:rRNA from 1 species